rnacentral:rRNA from 1 species
UACGUAGGGGGCUAGCGUUGUCCGGAUUUAUUGGGCGUAAAGAGCGUGUAGGCGGCCAGGUAGGUCUGCUGUGAAAACUCGAGGCUUAACCUCGAGAUGUCGGCGGAAACCAUCUGGCUAGAGUCCGGAAGAGGAGAGUGGAAUUCCUGGUGUAGCGGUGAAAUGCGCAGAUAUCAGGAAGAACACCCGUGGCGAAGGCGGCUUGCUGGGCAUGGUCUGACGCUGAGGCGCGAAAGCGUGGGGAGCGAACAGG